UCGUUGACCCUCUCUCUCUCUCUCCCUCUCUCAGUUUUCUUCCAUUUUCCAUACAAUACGUAUGGCCAACCUUUGAACCUAGCUCUCUAAUCACGGAUCGAGAUUUUGGAAGCCAUCUUUGUGUUCCUUGUGAACUCAGGAACACAUCAAUACCAUUUUUAGAAUGUGAAUCCUUCAAAAACCCGAGAACCCAGAAAUCCCAUAUUUGAGCACUGUUCAUGCAGUCAUGAUCGUGGAAGUUUUAGUGAAUUUUAAGGUUCUAGGAAGCUUUAGACAUCUUCACGAAGCUCGGGGAAGAAAGUUGGAGUGUUUUGGACAUCGGGAAGUCCCAAAAAUCCCAGAAAGUUGGAGUGUUUCAAGUUUUGGCCAGAUUAUCGAGGUUCCUCCGGCGAGAUUCCAUGGAUUUUAGGGCUUAAAAUUGGUAAGGUUUUGUUCUACUCAUUGUAAGUUUUAUUUUAAGACAAAUUUCAUGAAGUUUGGUUGAGAAAUGAAGAAGAUAUAAAGGUUUCAAUAUUUUUCCAGUUUCCGACGAUCGCAGCGGCACCGGUGCCGGACUCUGGCGAACCAACGAAGAAGGAGGAGAAUGUUCUGUCAAAGUUGACGGAAUAUUCUAACGCCGUCAGGUAAUUCUAACUAUAUAUGUUGUUUUUAAUGGAAUAUUCCGUUUGGUGUGCCAGACACGUGCCUUCGCGUGAGCCGCACGUCUGGCCGUGCCUUGGUUGGCGUGCGAGGGCGUGUGGGUGCACCGAAAUUUUUUCUAAAAAUAUGGAGAUGUUGCUGAGGUUGAGUAGGUCAUGGUGGUAUAUUCAAAUACCCCAUUUGAUCAAUGUAUGAGAAGUUAUUUCCUAGUUUUGUGUAUGUGAUUUAAAUAACGUUUAUUUAGUUAUUUCGCAUAUAGGUGAGACCUAUCUUGAGGACGAGAGCCAUCAAUCGAGCCUAGGGGGCUAUGACCCUUCGACAUACCAGAGAGUGGGCUUUUGGUUUUUUGUAUAUAUCUACAUACUUGAAAUUUUUCCCAGAAAACGAAUUUGAAUGAUUAUACGCUUUGAAAUGCCAUGCAAAGUAUUUGCCUAUUUUGUUUAUGCAUUAGUAGUUGCAUAUAUUUAUGAUUGAUGCUGCGGACGCACAGGUAAGUGCCAAGUAAGUUCAUAAAUGAAAGAUAUGGGAUUACUUCAGUUAUGCAAGAUAUGAUGUGAUGUAUUGAGAGCUCAUAAACCUACACCCCUGUGUUAGUGCUCCCACCCAGAGUUAAGGCACAGUCCUUCACGUGAUGUUCACCUCCCGCACCAUAUGCUCACCUUGGAUCCAAGUUAGGUGUACAGGCUUGUCGUACAGACCACUUUAGGAGGUUCUGACUCGUAGGUGACCCGCGAUCAUUCGCACAGCUUUCACAUGAUCGUAGCACUAGAGCAUAUUUAUUUUACACCUAGUCUUGUCGUACAAACCACUUUAGGUGGUUUCGACUCGUGUGCAUAAUUUGAUAUGAUUGAGAUUAGUUAUGAGCUAUAGACUCAGCCGUGCAGGUCACGUUAGGUGGAGCCGGCUGAUAUGAUAUCCGGCAUUGAUAUAUUUUAAUUGAAUUACUUAUGGCAUUUCAUUAAGAUACUUUGGCAUGGUAUAUUUCUAUGGAUUUUCAUCUUGAGCAUGAUUUUUGUUAUAGCAUAUAUUAUAUUUCUGGGAAAUUAUACAUGUUUUACGGCGAGGGGUUAGAACUUUUGAGAACCGAAAUGAUUUUGAAAAGCUUUGUUUUUGCCCACUCACACUUUUUGUUUUGCGCCCCUCUAGGUUUUAGGUAGAAGUGCUUUGGUGGCUCACGAGGAUUUCGAUGGUGGUUCUGACAGAACAUCACAAAUGUAGGAGCACCUUUGGGUGUUAUAUGUAUUACUUUUCCAGUCGGACUGCACUUAGGCAAUUUAUGCUCUGAUUGUGUAUUUCAUACUUAAUCUUGCACUUGCACCUUAUCUUAAUUAGUGCUCUAGUUGGUUUGGUUUUUAGUUAUACGUAUUUCCUUAUAUCUCUAUUGCUUUCGCACUAUGCACAUGGCUACGUCACCCUUACGUGACGACUAGCAUGCCCUGAUUUAGGUUGAGGUGUGUCACAUCAUCUACAAAAAGUUCAUCAAUGUAAUCAUAUGUCCUAGCAACCCUUUUUUCUUCGAGCAACCUUUUCAGUCCAUUUGGAUUGCUGUGCGGAUGAUUCACCAAGAUAGUUAUAAUUGAAGCUCUCUUCUUAAAUACUUAAUUAAUUAUCAGAUUUCCCUAGAUUCAUUGAAUUGAAUGGAUAACACAUCACAACCAAAUUAUUCUUUAUCAAGUUCCCUAACUAUGGAAUACGCAUGAUAGAAAUACUUAACAAAGAUCAUUAAGUUCAAUGGAAACCAUAAGCAUUGACGAGGCA
rnacentral:lncRNA from 1 species